rnacentral:rRNA from 1 species
CCUACGGGAUGCAGCAGUGAGGAAUAUUGGUCAAUGGGCGGGAGCCUGAACCAGCCAAGUCGCGUGAGGGACGACGGUCCUAUGGAUUGUAAACCUCUUUUGUCGGGGAACAAAGGCGCCCACGGGUGGGCGGAUGAGAGUACCCGACGAAAAAGCAUCGGCUAACUCCGUGCCAGCAGACGCGGUAAUACGGGGGAUGCGAGCGUUAUCCGGAUUUAUUGGGUUUAAAGGGUGCGUAGGCGGACAGUCAAGUCAGGGGUAAACAGGCGGUGUUCAACGCCGUACCGCCGUUGAAACUGGCAGACUUGAGUGUGCGAGAGGUAUGCGGAAUGUGUGGUGUAGCAGUGAAAUGCGUAGAUAUCACGCAGAACUCCGAUUGCGAAGGCAGCAUACCGGCGACCAACUGACGCUGAGGCACGAAAGCGUGGGUAUCGAACAGGAUUAGAUACCCGAGUAGUC